AUGCCAGGAGCAUCGACAGUCACAAUAAUCUUCAUAGCAAGCAUCAUCCUCCCAGCAGUAGGAACACUUGUCGGAGCCUCUUCUGGAUGCUCCAUGUCGUUGCCAGGUUGCCCCGACAAGUGCGGUGACAUAUCAAUCCCAUACCCCUUUGGGAUUGGCGCGGAGUCCGCGGCCAACCUGAGCAGGUACUUCAACCUCAUCUGCGACGACACGAUUAAUCCACCACGGCCAAUGGUUGGGGAUCCCGGAGGAGAAGAUGAGAUCAUCGACAUCUCACUGGAGCACGGCGAGAUGCGCGUUUUCAGCCCCGUUAGCUACAUAUGCUUCGAGUCGAACACCACAUUCAGCUGGUCCACAGUAGGGUACGAUCUGCAGCUCACGCCCUUCCUUCCGUCACCAUCGCGUAACCGCUUCACAGUCAUCGGCUGCGACACCGUGGGGCUCAUCAGCGGCUACAAAGACACCACAGGCAAGUACAGGGCUGGCUGCUACUCCUACUGUGAGGGCGCCAACAACACGUCUGAAGGUGCGCCAUGUGCUGGAAUGGGCUGCUGUGAGGCUGCCAUCCCCAACAACCUCACCUCCUUGGAGGUCGUGUUUGAGAUGGACCAGAGCAAGGUAUGGCACUUCAACCCAUGCUUCUACGCCAUGGUGGCUGAGGUUGGGUGGUACAACUUCAGUCAGCAGGACCUCGUCAGUAGACUUGGGUUCAUCGAUCAGCGAGCCAAGAAGGGUACCCGCAUCGUCGCUGAUUGGGCCAUUAGGAAUGGCUCAUGCCCAGAGACGGGAAAGGACAAACCUAAGGACUAUGCUUGCAUCAGUACAAACAGCUAGUGUAUGGCUGCGAACAAUGGUCCAGGAUACUUAUGCCGUUGCUCCGGAGGAUAUGAGGGCAAUCCUUAUCUUCUGAACGGCUGUGAAGACAUAGACGAGUGCACAUUGCGUAAGCAGAACCCCAAGAAUGAAGAUGUGUAUCCAUGCAGAAAAGGGGUCUGCCUCAACACACCAGGAUCAUACGAUUGCAAAUGCAAGAGACGAACACGACCUGAUGGUACAAAUUUUGGAUGCCGGCCUCUGUUGACUUCAGCUGAAAUAUUGGCCACUGGCCUCAGUGUUUCUGCGACUGUGGUGAUGGCCUUAGCAUGCUUGCUGCUCAUGCAAUUUCAAAUAAAAAGGCACAAAAGGGAAACAGAUGAGUAUUUCAGACAAAAUGGAGGUCUCAAGUUAUAUGAUGAGAUGAGGUCAAGGCAGGUCGACACAAUCCGCAUACUUACAGAGAAAGAGAUAAAGAGAGCCACUGACAACUACAAUGAAGAUCAAGUUAUUGGAUGUGGUGGUCAUGGUAUGGUCUACAGAGGAACUUUGGAUGAUCAAAAAGAGGUUGCCAUAAAGAAGUCCAAAGCAAUCAACAAUGCUUGGAGAGAAGAAUUUGUCAAUGAGAUAAUAAUCUUGUCACAAAUCAAUCACCGACACAUUGUGAGGUUACUAGGCUGUUGUCUGAAUGUAGAUGUCCCGAUGUUGGUCUAGGGGAGAUGACAGGCCAGCGAUGAAGGAAGUUGCAGAGAGACUAGAGAUGAUGAGGAGACUCCAGUUGCACGAAGCCAGUGCUCAUGAAGACAAUCAGUGUGUGUAUAACUACGGAGGAUCAUCUUCGGUUGUUGUCCCCUUUGAUGAGGCAACACGCGGGACAAUCGACAUGUCCGAGCUGGUCGAAGAUCUUGCGAGGUGAUGUUUGGAAUCUUGUAUACAGAGUUAGUUCUUUGGUUUGUGUUACGCAAAACUAAACCACAGCCACCGUUACGAUUGCGAAGUGUAAUAAGUUAAACCUGUUCAUGGAGCAAUUAUCCUGACAUUCGGUCUGGCAUGCUGGAGAAAUCGCCAAACUUGGCAUUUCAAGGUAUGCAACAUGUACAUAAUGUGUGCCUGCUGUAUAGUUUGACCAUGGCCAUAAUGUGUGUCUAGUGUGAACUGUCCCCAUUCUGAACUCUGAAGAUAUAUUCAGCUAUGUGACGCGAUACUGAAUCGAAGUUUACCUGUGGUGAGCG
rnacentral:rRNA from 1 species